UACGAGGGGGGCAAAUGUUGUUCGGAAUCACUGGGCGUAAAGGGAGCGUAGGCGGGUUCUUAAGUUAGGUGUUUAAUCCCGGGGCCCAACCCCGGACCGGCACUUAAAACUGGGAAUCUUGAAUAGUGGAGAGGUCAGUGGAAUUGGGGGUGUAGCGGUGGAAUGCAUAGAGAUCCCCAAGAACACCAGUUGCGAAGGCGGCUGACUGGACACAUAUUGACGCUGAGGCUCGAAAGCAUGGGGAGCAAACAGG
rnacentral:rRNA from 1 species